rnacentral:lncRNA from 1 species
AAUAAUCUAAUCUUCCAGAUUCUCCAAAAUAAACAACAACGCCAUUUUUCUAGUUUUCACCACCUAUAGAUAUAUAAAUAUAUGUAUCCUGCACAAGAUGCGAAUUCACAUACACAAAAACAAGUUCACAUACACAAAAACAAGUUCACUGACAGGACGAGGAGGCAAAAUCAUGAACUUCAGUGAUUCCCACCUUUUAGACUUGAGACCAAAACAAUUUUUCUGAAAUACAGCCACUAUUUGUCAGC